AUUGACGCGUCAAUCACAUUGGUUCCACUGCACAGUUUUGUUUGCUGCAAAUCUUGAAGAAUUGUUUUUUUCGUAGCUGACGCCGAUCAAGUUGUUUUCCCAUAUUGUCCAUGAAGUAUAAGUAUUUGCAAGAACUUAUGCUGUGCAUCUUCAAUAGUAAGGAAUACAAUGCUUCAAUGCUUCAAUAAAGCAGGGAAUACAAUGGCUCUGGUGGUGGGACCAAUAAUGGCAAUUUACCACUAAGGCUGCACAAACCAGGCGUUUUUUCGUCAAGUACUAACGCGGCACUCUACUUGAACAAUGUCUCGUUGUUCUUCAGAUAAUUGACUCCGCUGGGAGAGAUUGGAUAUUCUAGGAAGUGGCAUGAUGAUCAGAUUGCUAAUUGGUUUGGUUUGAUAAUAUGGGUUACUAAACACUACACAAAACACAUUACUCGAAUUUCUCCGAUAGUUUUCACAAAAUAAAUGGUAUAUUACAACGACAUUAAAACAACAA